GGCGCCGACGGCGCGACCGAGCAGGUGCCCGCGCAGGCGCCGCGGCAGGCCGCGCCGGGCAGGCCGGGCCGGUUCGUGCUCGGCGGCAUCGC
rnacentral:tRNA from 1 species